GUACAUUAUACAUUCAAAUAUAUCAAGCAAGAUAUGAACUGAAGUAUCCCAGAACCUGAAGCUGUUGAUCUUUGGUUUCAGUGUGAUUACGAUUGUCCAGCAGUUUUCGCGUCGCUGCUGUCACUGUCAAUGAAGUUCCGUGUAGUCACACAGUAAAGAAAAAGUAUCCUUUAAAAUGUCGUAUAAACCAGUAACACACGUACUUUUCGAUAUGGACGGGUUAUUAUUAGAUACAGAGAGGUUGUACACUGUCGCAUACCAGGAAGUCUGUGACAGGUUCAAUAAGCAGUAUACAUGGGAAGUGAAGUCCUCUGUGAUGGGCAAGAAAGCUCUGGAGGCUGCCAGGAUCAUAAGAGACAAAAUUGAUCUCCCCAUGACCCCCGAAGAGCUCCUGGAGGAGACCAGACGAAUUCAAGACAAAUUAUUUCCCACAGCCUCUCUAUUGCCAGGUGUAGAAAAGCUUGUCAAUCAUCUACACAAGCAUGGGAUUCCUAUUGCUGUUGGCACAAGCUCAGCAGGUCUAACCUUUGAGAUGAAGACCAGCUGUCAUAAAGAGUUCUUCAGCCUCUUCAGUCACAUUGUACUUGGAGAUGAUCCUGAAGUAAAGAAUGGCAAGCCACACCCUGAUAUUUUUGUGGUUUGUGCCAAGAGAUUCUCUCCCCCAGCCAACACUGGACAGUGCCUGGUUUUUGAAGAUGCACCAAAUGGGGUAAAGGCGGGUCUGGCAGCUGGAAUGCAGGUGGUGAUGAUCCCAGAUGAUAACCUGGACCGCAGCCUCACCCAGGAGGCCACCUUGCUGCUUAGAAGCAUGGAAGAGUUCAGACCAGAACUUUUCAGUCUCCCAGCCUACCCAUAAGGACAGUAAUCACCACAAUGAUUUAAAUUUCACUACGCUAUAUCUUGUCAAUUUUUGAAAAAUGGAAACAGGCUGCAGUGUAGCUCCUGCAAUCAAAAACAGGAGAAACUAAUCUCAACCAUUAUUUCUGUCAGCCAUGGAGUUGCUGUUCAGGGACACAACAGAAUGAUGAUUGUUUCGAUUUUUUGCUUUUUUUUUUUUUUUAGCCAAUCACAACUCUGAAGCUCUUUCCUUUGACCACCUGAAUAACACAGAGACAAAUUUGAUUAAGCAAUUAGCCUCAGUCGAACCAUUAAGCCAUAUUGACAUUUUACAUUUCAACCAAUUACAGGGUGUCAUUUUCUUUCUUUCAUUUUUUUCCCUUCCAAAUGCAGAUGUCUUGAGUGUUUGUGUCUCUGUGUAUAAAUCUUUAAUUCAAGCUCACAACUUUCCGGUCAUGGUUUAAAUUUACAGUAAGUGGCGGUUUAACAAUCCCGCUCGACCAGCCGCCUUUUCUAUUAGCGUUACCUUUCCUCUUUGCAGAAGUCUAUUAAAAUACCAAAGAGAUUUUUGAGUUUGAACCAUGUGGCGUAAUCCAAUAAAGGGGAUCUGAGAGCACAGUCGUCUUUCAUCUUCUUCCAGUGUCCGCCCUCACUGAGCUGGAGUUAGCAUGUUCACUCACUUCAGCGCUGUCCAACAUCUCAGAGAGUUCAAGCCUGUCUUCUUUCAGCCUUCCCCUCUGGUAGGAAGAAAAGGGUUUUUGCCAGCAUCCUCUUCCUCCUCCGCAUAUGCCACAUCCUUUCAUCCUUAAAGAUGGGGUAAUCUGGAAAGCUUUUCCUUCUUUAGGACUUUCCACUCCAAGAAGGCCUUUUACAUGUCAUUUCACACCUGAAGGACCUAAGGCUUAGGGUGUGCGCGUCUGUGCAUACACCAGUGUUAGAAAUUAACUUUUUUUUUAUUAAGGAGCAAUAUUAACCCUGGUGGAAUUGAUUUUUAAGGGGCAUUUUUACAAAUGCAUAUUCUUUCAUGUAAAACACUAAG